UUGAACGCUGGCGGCAGGCCUAACACAUGCAAGUCGAGCGGAUGGAGGGAGCUUGCUCCUGGAUUCAGCGGCGGACGGGUGAGUAAUGCCUAGGAAUCUGCCUGGUAGUGGGGGAUAACGUCCGGAAACGGGCGCUAAUACCGCAUACGUCCUGAGGGAGAAAGUGGGGGAUCUUCGGACCUCACGCUAUCAGAUGAGCCUAGGUCGGAUUAGCUAGUUGGUGGGGUAAAGGCCUACCAAGGCGACGAUCCGUAACUGGUCUGAGAGGAUGAUCAGUCACACUGGAACUGAGACACGGUCCAGACUCCUACGGGAGACAGCAGUGGGGAAUAUUGGACAAUGGGCGAAAGCCUGAUCCAGCCAUGCCGCGUGUGUGAAGAAGGUCUUCGGAUUGUAAAGCACUUUAAGUUGGGAGGAAGGGCAGUAAGUUAAUACCUUGCUGUUUUGACGUUACCAACAGAAUAAGCACCGGCUAACUUCGUG
rnacentral:rRNA from 1 species